rnacentral:lncRNA from 1 species
UGUUUUGUGUGGACCCCAGGAAGAGUAGCUGCUGCUUUUGCAACAGCUAAUGGGGAGCCUAAUAAAAUACCAAAUAUACACAGGUUGAAACCAACAAGCUUGUCAGUUCCAAUCCCAGUCACACCUUUUGUUUUCCAACUUUAUCGAACAUUCGUAACUAAUCCCAUGUCAAAUCUACUGCUGUUCUAAUCUAACCUUCUGACUGGCGCUGGGAUAGGGAGGGUAAGGUCACGGGUGUGGAGUCUCCCUCCUGCUGGGAGGUGGACUCAGCUACUAAUCUACCUUCUGACUGGCGCUGGGAUAGGGAGGGUAAGGUCACAGGUGUGGAGUCUCCCUCCUGCUGGGAGGUGGACUCAGCUACUAAUCUACCUUCUGACUGGCGCUGGGAUAGGGAGGGUAAGGUCACGGGUGUGGAGUCUCCCUCCUGCUGGGAGGUGGACUCAGCUACUAAUCUACCUUCUGACUGGCGCUGGGAUAGGGAGGGUAAGGUCACAGGUUAUAAUCUUGCUGAUGCCCAAUCUCAAAACGAUUUGUCAGUUUGUCAUUGCGGUAAAAACACAUUUCACUCAUAUUGUUAGUCAAUGUCUUUUUUAUUUACAAAUUUGGGAGUAAUAGAUAACUGAAUAACUCUACAUGUACACCGGCACAGCAAUAAAGAAAAUGUAGUCUUUUGAGGAAAC